AUGAUUUUGGUCUAAAACUAAUUGUGUGGGGAUAAUUUUAUAUGUUAAUUUUAGUGUAUGUCUCUAAUGGCUUAAUGCCCAGGAUUUAAAUAUUAGGCAGUAUUUAGUUUUGGAAAUAGGAGGAAUAAUCUUGAAUUAGUUGUCUUUCUAGCUUUAACUAAAUUAGGGUGCCAGCAGUUGCGGUUAGACCUGAGAGGCAAAUGAUUAUGAUUGACAUUACAUUUUAUAUUUAGUUGUCAGGGGUGAUUUAAUUGAAUAAUUAUCAGGUGAAAUAGAAAUGUUUUAUUACACUCUUUUAUACAUAGAUGGUAAAUUUCUAAUAUAAACUAGGAUUAGAUACCCUAUUAUUGGGAAUGAGUUAAACUAUUAUUUGUUUUAUUAGUUUAAGAUAUGGUCUUGAAAUUAAAAGAAUAUGGCGGUGGUUUAUUUCUAUUCAGAGGAACCUGCCCUAUAAAUGAUAUUCCACGAUUGAUUUUACUUUAUUUAUUUUGUUUGUAUAUCUCUGUUUAAUUAAUUUUUUAUAGAAACAUUUUAUUUUACUUGAAUGGUUUAAAAUUCAGGUCUAGAUGCAGCAUAUAUUGGAGUAGAGGUGGGUUACAUUUGUUAUAAUGGCGGAUAUCGAGAAUGAAAGUCUUUAUGGUGGAAGUUGGAUUUGAGAGUAAUUUUUAUUUAAUUAUAUUUAUGAAGUAAGUUCUGAGCUGUGUACAUAUCGCCCGUCAUUCCUAUCUACAAGGUAGGACAAGUCGUAACAUAGUAGCUGUACUGGAAAGUGUAGCUGGUUGAUUUAUCAAAUUAAAA
rnacentral:ncRNA from 1 species